rnacentral:rRNA from 1 species
AUACGUAGGUUGCAAGCGUUGUCCGGAUUUACUGGGUGUAAAGGGCGUGUAGGCGGAGGUGCAAGUUGGGAGUGAAAUCCCGGGGCUCAACCCCGGAACUGCUUUCAAAACUGCAUCCCUUGAGUAUCGGAGAGGCAAGCGGAGUUCCUAGUGUAGCGGUGAAAUGCGUAGAUAUUAGGAAGAACACCAGUGGCGAAGGCGGCUUUCUGGACUGUAACUGACACUGAGGCAUGAAAGCGUGGGGAGC